GUCGUGAGAUGUUGGGUUAAGUCCCGCAACGAGCGCAACCCUUGUCUCAUGUUGCCAGCGCGUUAUGGCGGGGACUCGUGAGAGACUGCCGGGGUCAACUCGGAGGAAGGUGGGGAUGACGUCAAGUCAUCAUGCCCCUUAUGUCCAGGGCUUCACACAUGCUACAAUGGCCGGUACAAAGGGCUGCGAUGCCGUGAGGUGGAGCGAAUCCUUUCAAAGCCGGUCUCAGUUCGGAUCGGGGUCUGCAACUCGACCCCGUGAAGUCGGAGUCGCUAGUAAUCGCAGAUCAGCAACGCUGCGGUGAAUACGUUCCCGGGCCUUGUACACACCGCCCGUCACGUCAUGAAAGUCGGUAACACCCGAAGCCGGUGGCCUAACCCCUUGUGGGAGGGAGCCGUCGAAGGUGGGAUCGGCGAUUGGGACGAAGUCGUAACAAGGUAGCCGUACCGGAAGGUGCGGCUGGAUCACCUCCUUUCUAAGGAGCACCAAUUCAUUCCCCCGUGCCUCACAUGUGUGAGGGGUUCGCGGUUGGGAUAUCAGUGCCGGGCCCUGUAGUGGGUGUCCGGUCGGUGCACGACAAGCGUUGAUCGGUGGGGAAACACCGGUUGAGAUUAAUCAUCAGACACACUAUUGGGCUUUGAGACAACAGGCCCGUCACCUCUUCGCCCUGUAGUUGGGGGAACCGGGGGUGAUACCGCUCUUUCGGGGGUGGGUUUGGUUGUUGCUCCGCUUUGGUGGUGGGGUGUGGUGUUUGAUUUGUGGAUAGUGGUUGCGAGCAUCUGGCACGCGUGUGGCGCCGGCCCUUUGUGGGGGUUGGUGUUUUCGUGUGUGUUGAUGUGCAAUUUCAAAGUUUUGUAUAACUUUUGGUUUUGUGUUGUAAGUGUUUAAGGGCGCAUGGUGGAUGCCUUGGCACUGGGAGCCGAUGAAGGACGUGGGAGGCUGCGUUAUGCCUCGGGGAGCUGUCAACCGAGCGUGGAUCCGAGGAUGU
rnacentral:sRNA from 1 species